UACGAAGGGGGCUAGCGUUGCUCGGAAUCACUGGGCGUAAAAGCGCACGUAGGCGGAUUGUUAAGUCAGGGGUGAAAUCCUGGAGCUCAACUCCAGAACUGCCCUUGAUACUGACGGGUCUCGAGUCCGGGAGAGGUGAGUGGAACUGCGAGUGUAGAGGUGAAAUUCGUAGAUAUUCGCAAGAACACCAGUGGCGAAGGCGGCUCACUGGCCCGGUACUGACGCUGAGGUGCGAAAGCGUGGGGAGCAAACAGGG
rnacentral:rRNA from 1 species